UGGGGAAUUUUGGACAAUGGGCGAAAGCCUGAUCCAGCAAUGCCGCGUGUGUGAAGAAGGCCUUCGGGUUGUAAAGCACUUUUGUCCGGAAAGAAAUCCUUGGCUCUAAUACAGUCGGGGGAUGACGGUACCGGAAGAAUAAGCACCGGCUAACUACGUGCCAGCAGCCGCGGUAAUACGUAGGGUGCAAGCGUUAAUCGGAAUUACUGGGCGUAAAGCGUGCGCAGGCGGUUUGCUAAGACCGAUGUGAAAUCCCCGGGCUCAACCUGGGAACUGCAUUGGUGACUGGCAGGCUAGAGUAUGGCAGAGGGGGGUAGAAUUCCACGUGUAGCAGUGAAAUGCGUAGAGAUGUGGAGAAUACCGAUGGCGAAGGCAGCCCCCAUGGGCCAAUACUGACGCUCAUGCACGAAAGCGUGGGGAGCAAACAGGAUUAGAUACCCUGGUAGUCCACGCCCUAAACGAUGUCAACUAGUUGUUGGGGAUUCAUUUCCUUAGUAACGUAGCUAACGCGUGAAGUUGACCGCCUGGGGAGUACGGUCGCAAGAUUAAAACUUAAAGGAAUUGACGGGGUCAUAGCUGUUUCCU
rnacentral:rRNA from 1 species